AGGUAAGCUACUAAGAGCGAAUGGUGGAUGCCUUGACUGGUAAAGGCGAUGAAGGACGUACUAGACUGCGAUAAGCUACGGGGAGCUGUCAAGAAGCUUUGAUCCGUAGAUUUCCGAAUGGGGCAACCCAAUGUAUAGAGAUAUACAUUACCUAUAUAGGAGCGAACGAGGGGAAUUGAAACAUCUUAGUACCCUCAGGAAAAGAAAUCAAUAGAGAUUGCGUCAGUAGCGGCGAGCGAAAGCGCAAGAGGGCAAACCCAGUGCUUGCACUGGGGGUUGUAGGACUGCAAUGUGCAAGAGGUAAGUUUAGCAGAACAUUCUGGAAAGUAUAACCAUAGAGGGUGAUAGUCCCGUAUGCGAAAAACAAACCUUAGCUAGCAGUAUCCUGAGUAGGGCGGGACACGAGGAAUCCUGUCUGAAUCCGGGUCGACCACGAUCCAACCCUAAAUACUAAUACCAGAUCGAUAGUGCACAAGUACCGUGAGGGAAAGGUGAAAAGAACUGAGGUGAUCAGAGUGAAAUAGAACCUGAAACCAUUUGCUUACAAUCAUUCAGAGCCCUAUGUAGUAAUACAGGGUGAUGGACUGCCUUUUGCAUAAUGAGCCUGCGAGUUGUGGUGUCUGGCAAGGUUAAGCAAACGCGAAGCCGUAGCGAAAGCGAGUCUGAAUAGGGCGCUUAGUCAGAUGCUGCAGACCCGAAACGAAGUGAUCUAUCCAUGAGCAAGUUGAAGCUAGUGUAAGAACUAGUGGAGGACUGAACCCAUAGGCGUUGAAAAGCCCCGGGAUGACUUGUGGAUAGGGGUGAAAGGCCAAUCAAACUUCGUGAUAGCUGGUUCUCUCCGAAAUAUAUUUAGGUAUAGCGUUGUGUCGUAAUAUAAGGGGGUAGAGCACUGAAUGGGCUAGGGCAUACACCAAUGUACCAAACCCUAUCAAACUCCGAAUACCUUAUAUGUAAUCACAGCAGUCAGGCGGCGAGUGAUAAAAUCCGUCGUCAAGAGGGAAACAACCCAGACUACCAGCUAAGGUCCCUAAAUCUUACUUAAGUGGAAAACGAUGUGAAGUUACUUAAACAACCAGGAGGUUGGCUUAGAAGCAGCCAUCCUUUAAAGAAAGCGUAAUAGCUCACUGGUCUAGUGAUUUUGCGCGGAAAAUAUAACGGGGCUAAAGUAAGUACCGAAGCUGUAGACUUAGUUUACUAAGUGGUAGGAGAGCGUUCUAUUUGCGUCGAAGGUAUACCGGUAAGGAGUGCUGGAGCGAAUAGAAGUGAGCAUGCAGGCAUGAGUAGCGAUAAUUAAUGUGAGAAUCAUUAACGCCGUAAACCCAAGGUUUCCUACGCGAUGCUCGUCAUCGUAGGGUUAGUCGGGUCCUAAGUCGAGUCCGAAAGGGGUAGACGAUGGCAAAUUGGUUAAUAUUCCAAUACCAACAUUAGUGUGCGAUGGAAGGACGCUUAGGGCUAAGGGGGCUAGCGGAUGGAAGUGCUAGUCUAAGGUCGUAGGAGGUUGUACAGGCAAAUCCGUAUAACAAUACUCCGAGAACUGAAAGGCUUUUUGAAGUCUUCGGAUGGAUAGAAGAACCCCUGAUGCCGUCGAGCCAAGAAAAGUUUCUAAGUUUAGCUAAUGUUGCCCGUACCGUAAACCGACACAGGUGGGUGGGAUGAGUAUUCUAAGGCGCGUGGAAGAACUCUCUUUAAGGAACUCUGCAAAAUAGCACCGUAUCUUCGGUAUAAGGUGUGGUUAGCUUUGUAUUAGGAUUUACUCCGAAAGCAAGGAAACUUACAACAAAGAGUCCCUCCCGACUGUUUACCAAAAACACAGCACUCUGCUAACUCGUAA
rnacentral:rRNA from 1 species